rnacentral:lncRNA from 1 species
CGGCAGCCCCUCCCCUCCUGCGCCUGAGCCAAGUUUGGAAACAUCCUCCGUCCAUGCCCAGCGAGGGUCACAGAGGAUGCUGACGUCGCUAAUAUUGUUACUGUCUCUCUCCCCUAAGAUACAAUGAAAAGGACAUUCCUAAACCAACAGAGGACAUUCACACAACAUAAUAGACAUCUGAGAGAUCCAUACAGCCAUACGUCUGAAGGUGGGGGUGGUGGAUCCCCCCAGGAGACAGCGGAAGGAGGUGUGGAUGUAGCCUCUGCUUAGUGUUAUAAGCAGUUCGAGGAUGGUGCUUUGGGAUUCAGUAGCAUCUGACCGUGCAAAGGCCCUGAUGGGGAAGCUGUGCGAGAUUUGUUGGGCCACAGAAAGACACACACCAGAUCUGGCCCUUGGUUUUCCACUGUAGCACAAGCGUGGAACCAGGUCACCCUGCUGCUACUCUGAUCUUACCGCUCAUUAAGAUCAUCGUGCUCAUCUGGCUCCUGACGGCUGCAUGCAUCCCCCUGGCCCCUCUGAUGUCAGCGUCUCAUCAUCCCCAUCGCUAUCAGAGAGCCCGGUUGUCUAACAGCAUCUUCUCCCAUGGCCUGAGCCUAAAGAAGACAGCCAACCUCUGAGCUUCUUGGAGAAGAGGAGGCCAUUCACAACAGUACAUUCCUUUCUACUUUGUUGAAUGGAAUGUCCUUCAGGCUCUCCCAUGCAACUUAGCUCUCCAGUGGAGUUUCCACAGAGAGACACCAGCGCUUCAUAAAGAGAAGUGACCACUUCUACAGACUCAGAGAGUUCACAGAAAUAUGAAGAUUCAAGAUCUUCAGGAGCAUCGACCAGACAUUCCCAUCCCAUAUGUUAGGGGCUCAUUCUGCCCCCAGGAUCAGCCCUGCGUCUACCGGAAGUACCGCCCCUUCACGUUUUGCUUCCUUGUGGAUCCUAAGGAAAGACAAAGGUUUCGUCCACAGCCAGUGCCUGAGGCCUCUACAGUUUCCAGUAUUAGCAACAGGCAUCAAAGUAGAAGCUGUAGCUCCUCUCCAGAAAGCAGCUUUCAAAAACUAAAGUAUGGGAAGUUUUCGUACUGGCUUCCUGGUCUGCUGUUCCUUUGGUUUAUUUUGUUUUCGUUUUUAGCUUUGACUUGCCAGGAUGGG